UUUCAUCUCAUCACAGGGUAUUAUUAUGUCAACUCCACUUUGAGCAGAUCAUUAAUGUGCAGCUGACAAUUUUGCCCAGCAGCUGCAGUGAAAGACAUAGAGCAGCAACCGGAAACCGGCAAAAAACAUUGCGCCUUUAAGCAUGGAUUUUUUUCUACACCUCCUUCUCCCCGCUCUUCGAUGUACUUUGGAAUUUAAUUCAUUUGUGUAUAGGAGUGUAUGUGCAUCAUGUUCAUCAAUCAAUUAAUCGAUACGCGCAAUGCCAAACGAAA